CAGCCGCCACGGUAAUACGAAGGGUGCAAGCGUUAAUCGGAAUUACUGGGCGUAAAGCGUGCGUAGGCGGUUUGUUAAGUCUGCUGUGAAAUCCCCGGGCUCAACCUGGGAAUGGCAGUGGAUACUGGCAAGCUAGAGUGUGUCAGAGGAUGGUGGAAUUCCCGGUGUAGCGGUGAAAUGCGUAGAGAUCGGGAGGAACAUCAGUGGCGAAGGCGGCCAUCUGGGACAACACUGACGCUGAGGCACGAAAGCGUGGGGAGCAAACAGGAUUAGAUACCCCGGUAGUCCCUGUCUCUUAUAU
rnacentral:rRNA from 1 species